GCUCUGGGAUAAGCCUGGGAAACUGGGUCUAAUACCGGAUAUGACUGAUCAUCGCAUGGUGGUUGGUGGAAAGCUUUUGUGGUUUUGGAUGGACUCGCGGCCUAUCAGCUUGUUGGUGGGGUAAUGGCCUACCAAGGCGACAACGGGUAGCCGGCCUGAGAGGGUGACCGGCCACACUGGGACUGAAACACGGCCCAAACUCCUACGGGAGGCAGCAGUGGGGAAUAUUGCACAAUGGGCGAAAGCCUGAUGCAGCGACGCCGCGUGAGGGAUGACGGCCUUCGGGUUGUAAACCUCUUUCAGUAGGGAAGAAGCGAAAGUGACGGUACCUGCAGAAGAAGCGCCGGCUAACUACGUGCCAGCAGCCGCGGUAAUACGUAGGGCGCAAGCGUUAUCCGGAAUUAUUGGGCGUAAAGAGCUCGUAGGCGGUUUGUCGCGUCUGCCGUGAAAGUCCGGGGCUCAACUCCGGAUCUGCGGUGGGUACGGGCAGACUAGAGUGAUGUAGGGGAGACUGGAAUUCCUGGUGUAGCGGUGAAAUGCGCAGAUAUCAGGAGGAACACCGAUGGCGAAGGCAGGUCUCUGGGCAUUAACUGACGCUGAGGAGCGAAAGCAUGGGGAGCGAACAGGAUUAGAUACCCUGGUAGUCCAUGCCGUAAACGUUGGGCACUAGGUGUGGGGGACAUUCCACGUUUUCCGCGCCGUAGCUAACGCAUUAAGUGCCCCGCCUGGGGAGUACGGCCGCAAGGCUAAAACUCAAAGGAAUUGACGGGGGCCCGCACAAGCGGCGGAGCAUGCGGAUUAAUUCGAUGCAACGCGAAGAACCUUACCAAGGCUUGACAUGAACCAGACCGGGCUGGAAACAGUCCUUCCCCUUUGGGGUUGGUUUACAGGUGGUGCAUGGUUGUCGUCAGCUCGUGUCGUGAGAUGUUGGGUUAAGUCCCGCAACGAGCGCAACCCUCGUUCCAUGUUGCCAGCGGGUAGUGCCGGGGACUCAUGGGAGACUGCCGGGGUCAACUCGGAGGAAGGUGGGGACGACGUCAAAUCAUCAUGCCCCUUAUGUCCGGGCUUCACGCAUGCUACAAUGGCCGGUACAAAGGGUUGCGAUACUGUGAGGUGGAGCUAAUCCCAAAAA
rnacentral:rRNA from 1 species